UCGAAUUCAUGUUUAAUCAGUACGGUAGUAAAAUAAGAGAAAGAGCAAGGAUAUGAACCUGAAUGCAAGCAACUUUCAAUAUAAUAUAUUUAGGAACAAAUACACGCAGACCGGUGUCAAAAUUUGAAAGUGUGACAAAAAACGAACAAGAUAACAACAAUCAAACCAAAACCGUGAACCUCGACUUCGUAUCGCACUCGACGGAUGGAACCGAGAAAUUACGAAGAAAGUUUGCCCUCUCUGAAAUUGUCACUGUUGGUUUCCCCCUUUCUCAAACGUUAAGAGCAAAAUUAACUAAAGCUUACUCAAGAAGUACAAAUCCCUUUUCAGAUAGAAAUCUUUUCCACCAGCAACAUUUGCACCCUUUUUAUGUCUGCAAUUCCAAGUAGCUCAACGAGAUCAACAUGACUUUUUAAAACCCUUCUUAGUUCGCUUUUCUAUCUAUGUGUGUGUGCGAUUUUCAGGCAGAUUGUAGUAAAGAGAAGAAGGAGCAGCGAUGGGUGUUGAUUUUUGGGUUCUUUUGCGGCUGAAGAAGAUGAUGCAAAGCUGGGGUGGGGUUCUUUUUGCUCAAAGCGGCGGAUUUGUG
rnacentral:lncRNA from 1 species